CAUGAAUCAACGUCAGUGUCAUCCACUGGAGGAGCUAGUCCAUCAGCUACUGUUGAUGUCAAUAAUGUAAAGAAAGUGAUCAAUGAAGUUCUUGUAUCUCAUUAUGCUGCACUCAAUUCUUUGCCUAAAAAGUCUCUUACUGGUCUUAUCAAUCAGUUGUACACAGCUAAGCUUAUUAGUAAUGAAGUUAAAGAAGCUCCUUCAAUGAAGGAAUGCAUCGAUGAGUUCAAGGCUAGUCUUAGUUUUAAAAGGAAGAUGCCUAAAGUGCAGGAGCACUGUCAAAAGUUCUUAAGCUCAUUCAUUGCUGCAAGAGGCAGUUAUGCUGAUGCAGCAGAAGCUUUAGGUGAGGACUGGAUUGAAGCUAUUAGGAAUGAACUGGGACUUGAUUUUAAUAUUAACAUUGAUGCUUGAUAUAAUUGAUUUACUUCGUUAUUAUUGCUUGUUUUAAAUAAUUUUUU